CCUACGGGUGGCUGCAGUAAGGAAUAUUGGUCAAUGGACGAAAGUCUGAACCAGCCAUGCCGCGUGGAGGAUGAAGGUCCUCUGGAUUGUAAACUUCUUUUAUAUGGGACGAAAAAAGGCCUUUCUAGGCCGUCUGACGGUACCAUAUGAAUAAGCACCGGCUAACUCCGUGCCAGCAGCCGCGGUAAUACGGAGGGUGCAAGCGUCAUCGGGAUUCACUGGGUUGAAAGGGGGUGUAGGUGGGUGGAUAUAAAUCUCCGAGCGUAACUUGGAAACUGCCAUUGAUACUAUUAAUCUUGAAUAUUGUGGAGGUUAGCGAAAUAUGUCAUGUAGCGGUGAAAUGCUUAGAUAUGACAUAGAACACCAAUUGCGAAGGCAGCUGGCUACACAUAUAUUGACACUGAGGCACGAAAGCGUGGGGAUCAAACAGGAUUAGAUACCCGGGUAGUC
rnacentral:rRNA from 1 species